UACCGAAAACAUAAGAACAGGUUUGCACAUAUGUUUAAACGUGAACAAAUGAAAGUUUUUUCAAACCUUCAUAAGCCACACAUAUGCGACUAUGGUUGAUUCUUCUAUAGAUACGAAGUGCAAUGUAUCUACAUUUGUUGAAUUUUCAACCACCAGAUGACUAAGUCAUCAUUUAU